GUUAGGGUUAGGGUUGGAGCUAGGGUUAGGGUUAGGGUUAGGGUUGGAGUUAGGGUUAGGGUUAGGGUUAGGGUUGGAGUUAGGGUUAGUGUUGGAGCUAGGGUUAGGGUUGGGCUUGGAGCUAGGAUUUUUCUGAGUGCAAUGAACCAACUCCCGAGUCUCUAGGACAUUCCUAAAAAAAAUUGAUUUUUUCCCAUAGGAAUGCAUGGGUUAGGGUUAUGGUUAGGGUUAGGGUUGGAGCAAGGGUUAGGGUUAGGGUUAGGGUUGGAGUUAGGGUUAGUGUUGGAGCUAGGGUUAGGGUUGGGCUUGGAGCUAGGACUUUUCUGAGUGCAAUGAACCAACUCCCGAGUCUCUAGGACGUUCCCUAAAAAAAUUUGAUUUUUUCCCAUAGGAAUGCAUGGGUUAGGGUUAGGGUUAGGGUUGGAGCUAGGGUUAGGGUUAGGGUUAGGGUUGGAGUUAGGGUUAGUGUUGGAGCUAGGGUUAGGGUUGGGCUUGGAGCUAGGAUUUUUCUGAGUGCAAUGAACCAACUCCCGAGUCUCUAGGACGUUCCUAAAAAAUUUUGAUUUUUUCCCAUAGGAAUGCAUGGGUUAGGGUUAGGGUUAGGGUUAGGGUUGGAGCUAGGGUUAGGGUUAGGGUUAGGGUUGGAGUUAGGGUUAGUGUUGGAGCUAGGGUUAGGGUUGGGCUUGGAGCUAGGAUUUUUCUGAGUGCAAUGAACCAACUCCCGAGUCUCUAGGACGUUCCAAAAAAAAUUUGAUUUUUUCCCAUAGGAAUGCAUGGGUUAGGGUUAGGGUUAGGGUUGGAGCUAGGGUUAGGGUUAGGGUUAGGGUUGGAGUUAAGGUUAGUGUUGGAGCUAGGGUUAGGGUUUGGCUUGGAGCUAGGAUUUUUCUGAGUGCAGUGAACCAACUCCCGAGUCUCUAGGACGUUCCUAAAAAAAUUUGAUUUUUUCCCAUAGGAAUGCAUGGGUUAGGGUUAUGGUUAGGGUUAGGGUUGGAGCUAGGGUUAGGGUUAGGGUUAGGGUUGGAGUUAGGGUUAGUGUUGGAGCUAGGGUUAGGGUUGGGCUUGGAGCUAGGAUUUUUCUGAGUGCAAUGAACCAACUCCCGAGUCUCUAGGACGUUCCUAAAAAAAUUUGAUUUUUUCCCAUAGGAAUGCAUGGGUUAGGGUUAUGGUUAGGGUUAGGGUUGGAGCUAGGGUUAGGGUUAGGGUUAGGGUUAGGGUUGGAGUUAGGGUUAGUGUUGGAGCUAGGGUUAGGGUUGGGCUUGGAGCUAGGAUUUUUCUGAGUGCAAUGAACCAACUCCCGAGUCUCUAGGACGUUCCUAAAAAAAUUUGAUUUUUUCCCAUAGGAAUGCAUGGGUCAGGGUUAGGGUUAGGGUUGGAGCUAGGGUUAGGGUUAGGGUUAGGGUUGGAGUUAGGGUUAGUGUUGGAGCUAGGGUUAGGGUUGGGCUUGGAGCUAGGAUUUUUCUGAGUGCACUGAACCAACUCCCGAGUCUCUAGGACAUUCCUAAAAAAAUUUGAUUUUUUCCCAUAGGAAUGCAUGGGUUAGGGUUAGGGUUAGGGUUGGAGCUAGGGUUGGGGUUAGGGUUAGGGUUGGAGUUAGGGUUAGUGUUGGAGCUAGGGUUAGGGUUGGGCUUGGAGCUAGGAUUUUUCUGAGUGCAAUGAACCAACUCCCGAGUCUCUAGGACGUUCCUAAAAAAAUUUGAUUUUUUCCCAUAGGAAUGCAUGGGUUAGGGUUAGGGUUAGGGUUGGAGCUAGGGUUAGGGUUAGGGUUAGGGUUAGGGUUGGAGUUAGGGUUAGUGUUGGAGCUAGGGUUAGGGUUGGGCUUGGAGCUAGGAUUUUUCUGAGUGCACUGAACCAACUCCCGAGUCUCUAGGACAUUCCUAAAAAAAUUUGAUUUUUUCCCAUAGGAAUGCAUGGGUUAGGGUUAGGGUUAGGGUUGGAGCUAGGGUUAGGGUUAGGGUUAGGGUUGGAGUUAGGGUUAGUGUUGGAGCUAGGUUUAGGGUUGGGCUUGGAGCUAGGAUUUUUCUGAGUGCACUGAACCAACUCCCGAGUCUCUAGGACAUUCCUAAAAAAAUUUGAUUUUUUCCCAUAGGAAUGCAUGGGUUAGGGUUAGGGUUAGGGUUGGAGCUAGGGUUAGGGUUAGGGUUAGGGUUGGAGUUAGGGUUAGUGUUGGAGCUAGGGUUAGGGUUGGGCUUGGAGCUAGGAUUUUUCUGAGUGCAAUGAACCAACUCCCGAGUCUCUAGGACGUUCCUAAAAAAAUUUGAUUUUUUCCCAUAGGAAUGCAUGGGUUAUGGUUAGGGUUAGGGUUGGAGCUAGGGUUAGGGUUAGGGUUAGGGUUAGGGUUGGAGUUAGGGUUAGUGUUGGGGCUAGGGUUAGGGUUGGGCUUGGAGCUAGGAUUUUUCUGAGUGCAAUGAACCAACUCCCGAGUCUCUAGGACGUUCCUAAAAAAAUUUGAUUUUUUCCCAUAGGAAUGCAUGGGUUAGGGUUAGGGUUAGGGUUGGAGCUAGGGUUAGGGUUAGGGUUAGGGUUGGAGAUAGGGUUAGUGUUGGAGCUAGGGUUAGGGUUGGGCUUGGAGCUAGGAUUUUUCUGAGUGCAAUGAACCAACUCCCGAGUCUCUAGGACGUUCCUAAAAAAAUUUGUUUUUUUCCCAUAGGAAUGCAUGGGUCAGGGUUAGGGUUAGGGUUGGAGCUAGGGUUAGGGUUAGGGUUAGGGUUGGAGUUAGGGUUAGUGUUGGAGCUAGGGUUAGGGUUGGGCUUGGAGCUAGGAUUUUUCUGAGUGCACUGAACCAACUCCCGAGUCUCUAGGACAUUCCUAAAAAAAUUUGAUUUUUUCCCAUAGGAAUGCAUGGGUUAGGGUUAGGGUUAGGGUUGGAGCUAGGGUUAGGGUUAGGGUUAGGGUUGGAGUUAGGGUUAGUGUUGGAGCUAGGGUUAGGGUUGGGCUUGGAGCUAGGAUUUUUCUGAGUGCACUGAACCAACUCCCGAGUCUCUAGGACAUUCCUAAAAAAAUUUGAUUUUUUCCCAUAGGAAUGCAUGGGUUAGGGUUAUGGUUAGGGUUAGGGUUGGAGCUAGGGUUAGGGUUAGGGUUAGGGUUGGAGUUAGGGUUGGUGUUGGAGCUAGGGUUAGGGUUGGGCUUUGAGCUAGGACUUUUCUGAGUGCAAUGAACCAACUCCCGAGUCUCUAGGACGUUCCCUAAAAAAAUUUGAUUUUUUCCCAUAGGAAUGCAUGGGUUAGGGUUAGGGUUAGGGUUAGGGUUGGAGCUAGGGUUAGGGUUAGGGUUAGGGUUGGAGUUAGGGUUAGUGUUGGAGCUAGGGUUAGGGUUGGGCUUGGAGCUAGGAUUUUUCUGAGUGCAAUGAACCAACUCCCGAGUCUCUAGGACGUUCCAAAAAAAAUUUGAUUUUUUCCCAUAGGAAUGCAUGGGUUAGGGUUAUGGUUAGGGUUAGGGUUGGAGCUAGGGUUAGGGUUAGGGUUAGGGUUGGAGUUAGGGUUAGUGUUGGCGCUAGGGUUAGGGUUGGGCUUGGAGCUAGGAUUUUUCUGAGUGCAAUGAACCAACUCCCGAGUCUCUAGGACGUUCCUAAAAAAAUUUGAUUUUUUCCCAUAGGAAUGCAUGGGUUAGGGUUAGGGUUAGGGUUGGAGCUAGGGUUAGGGUUAGGGUUAGGGUUGGAGAUAGGGUUAGUGUUGGAGCUAGGGUUAGGGUUGGGCUUGGAGCUAGGAUUUUUCUGAGUGCAAUGAACCAACUCCCGAGUCUCUAGGACGUUCCUAAAAAAAUUUGAUUUUUUCCCAUAGGAAUGCAUGGGUCAGGGUUAGGGUUAGGGUUGGAGCUAGGGUUAGGGUUAGGGUUAGGGUUGGAGUUAGGGUUAGUGUUGGAGCUAGGGUUAGGGUUGGGCUUGGAGCUAGGAUUUUUCUGAGUGCACUGAACCAACUCCCGAGUCUCUAGGACAUUCCUAAAAAAAUUUGAUUUUUUCCCAUAGGAAUGCAUGGGUUAGGGUUAGGGUUAGGGUUGGAGCUAGGGUUAGGGUUAGGGUUAGGGUUGGAGUUAGGGUUAGUGUUGGAGCUAGGGUUAGGGUUGGGCUUGGAGCUAGGAUUUUUCUGAGUGCACUGAACCAACUCCCGAGUCUCUAGGACAUUCCUAAAAAAAUUAGAUUUUUUCCCAUAGGAAUGCAUGGGUUAGGGUUAUGGUUAGGGUUAGGGUUGGAGCUAGGGUUAGGGUUAGGGUUAGGGUUGGAGUUAGGGUUGGUGUUGGAGCUAGGGUUAGGGUUGGGCUUUGAGCUAGGACUUUUCUGAGUGCAAUGAACCAACUCCCGAGUCUCUAGGACGUUCCCUAAAAAAAUUUGAUUUUUUCCCAUAGGAAUGCAUGGGUUAGGGUUAGGGUUAGGGUUAGGGUUGGAGCUAGGGUUAGGGUUAGGGUUAGGGUUAGAGUUAGGGUUAGUGUUGGAGCUAGGGUUAGGGUUGGGCUUGGAGCUAGGAUUUUUCUGAGUGCACUGAACCAACUCCCGAGUCUCUAGGACAUUCCUAAAAAAAAUUGACUUUUUCCCAUAGGAAUGCAUGGGUUAGGGUUAGGGUUAGGGUUAGGGUUGGAGCUAGGGUUAGGGUUAGGGUUAGGGUUGGAGUUAGGGUUAGUGUUGGAGCUAGGGUUAGGGUUGGGCUUGGAGCUAGGACUUUUCUGAGUGCAAUGAACCAACUCCCGAGUCUCUAGGACGUUCCCUAAAAAAAUUUGAUUUUUUCCCAUAGGAAUGCAUGGGUUAGGGUUAGGUGUGGGGUUGGAGCUAGGGUUAGGGUUAGGGUUAGGGUUGGAGUUAGGGUUAGUGUUGGAGCUAGGGUUAGGUUUGGGCUUGGAGCUAGGAUUUUUCUGAGUGCAAUGAACCAACUCCCGAGUCUCUAGGACGUUCCUAAAAAAUUUUGAUUUUUUCCCAUAGGAAUGCAUGGGUUAGGGUUAGGGUUAGGGUUGGAGCUAGGGUUAGGGUUAGGGUUAGGGUUGGAGUUAGGGUUAGUGUUGGAGCUAGGGUUAGGGUUGGGCUUGGAGCUAGGAUUUUUCUGAGUGCAAUGAACCAACUCCCGAGUCUCUAGGAAGUUCCUAAAAAAAUUUGAUUUUUUCCCAUAGGAAUGCAUGGGUUAGGGUUAGGGUUAGGGUUGGAGCUAGGGUUAGGGUUAGGGUUAGGGUUGGAGUUAGGGUUAGUGUUGGAGCGAGGGUUAGGGUUGGGCUUGGAGCUAGGAUUUUUCUGAGUGCAAUGAACCAACUCCCGAGUCUCUAGGACGUUCCUAAAAAAAUUUGAUUUUUUCCCAUAGGAAUGCAUGGGUUAGGGUUAGGGUUAGGGUUGGAGCUAGGGUUAGGGUUAGGGUUAGGGUUGGAGUUAGGGUUAGUGUUGGAGCUAGGGUUAGGGUUGGGCUUGGAGCUAGGAUUUUUCUGAGUGCAAUGAACCAACUCCCGAGUCUCUAGGACGUUCCUAAAAAAAUUUGAUUUUUUCCCAUAGGAAUGCAUGGGUUAGGGUUAGGGUUAGGGUUGGAGCUAGGGUUAGGGUUAGGGUUAGGGUUGGAGUUAGGGUUAGUGUUAGAGCUAGGGUAAGGUUUGGGCUUGGAGCUAGGAUUUUUCUGAGUGCAAUGAACCAACUCCCGAGUCUCUAGGACGUUCCUAAAAAAAUUUGAUUUUUUUCCAUAGGAAUGCAUGGGUUAGGGUUAUGGUUAGGGUUAGGGUUGGAGCUAGGGUUAGGGUUAGGGUUAGGGUUGGAGUUAGGGUUAGUGUUGGAGCUAGGGUUAGGGUUGGGCUUGGAGCUAGGAUUUAUCUGAGUGCAAUGAACCAACUCCCGAGUCUCUAGGACGUUCCUAAAAAAAUUUGAUUUUUUCCCAUAGGAAUGCAUGGGUUAGGGUUAGGGUUAGGGUUGGAGCUAGGGUUAGGGUUAGGGUUAGGGUUGCAGUUAGGGUUAGUGUUGGAGCUAGGGUAAGGUUUGGGCUUGGAGCUAGGAUUUUUCUGAGUGCAAUGAACCAACUCCCGAGUCUCUAGGACGUUCCUAAAAAAAUUUGAUUUUUUUCCAUAGGAAUGCAUGGGUUAGGGUUAGGGUUGGAGCUAGUGUUAGGGUUAGGGUUGGAGCUAGGGUUAGGGUUAGGGUUAGGGUUGGAGUUAGGGUUAGUGUUGGAGCUAGGGUUAGGGUUGGGCUUGGAGCUAGGAUUUUUCUGAGUGCAAUGAACCAACUCCCGAGGCUCUUGGACGUUCCUAAAAAAAUUAGAUUUUUUCCCAUAGGAAUGCAUGGGUUAGGGUUAGGGUUAGGGUUGGAGCUAGGGUUAGGGUUAGGGUUAGGGUUGGAGUUAGGGUUAGUGUUGGAGCUAGGGUUAGGGUUGGGCUUGGAGCUAGGAUUUUUCUGAGUGCAAUGAACCAACUCCCGAGUCUCUAGGACGUUCCUAAAAAAAUUUGAUUUUUUCCCAUAGGAAUGCAUGGGUUAGGGUUAGGGUUAGGGUUGGAGCUAGGGUUAGGGUUAGGGUUAGGGUUGGAGUUAAGGUUAGUGUUGGAGCUAGGGUUAGGGUUGGGCUUGGAGCUAGGAUUUUUCUGAGUGCAGUGAACCAACUCCCGAGUCUCUAGGACGUUCCUAAAAAAAUUUGAUUUUUUCCCAUAGGAAUGCAUGGGUUAGGGUUAUGGUUAGGGUUAGGGUUGGAGCUAGGGUUAGGGUUAGGGUUAGGGUUGGAGUUAGGGUUAGUGUUGGAGCUAGGGUUAGGGUUGGGCUUGGAGCUAGGAUUUUUCUGAGUGCAAUGAACCAACUCCCGAGUCUCUAGGACGUUCCUAAAAAAAUUUGAUUUUUUCCCAUAGGAAUGCAUGGGUUAGGGUUAGGGUUAGGGUUGGAGCUAGGGUUAGGGUUAGGGUUGGAGUUAGGGUUAGUGUUGGAGCUAGGGUUAGGGUUGGGCUUGGAGCUAGGAUUUUUCUGAGUGCACUGAACCAACUCCCGAGUCUCUAGGACAUUCCUAAAAAAAUUUGAUUUUUUCCCAUAGGAAUGCAUGGGUUAGGGUUAUGGUUAGGGUUAGGGUUGGAGCUAGGGUUAGGGUUAGGGUUAGGGUUGGAGUUAGGGUUAGUGUUGGAGCUAGGGUUAGGGUUGGGCUUGGAGCUAGGAUUUUUCUGAGUGCAAUGAACCAACUCCCGAGUCUCUAGGACGUUCCUAAAAAAAUUUGAUUUUUUCCCAUAGGAAUGCAUGGGUUAGGGUUAGGGUUAGGGUUGGAGCUAGGGUUAGGGUUAGGGUUAGGGUUGGAGUUAGGGUUAGUGUUAGAGCUAGGGUAAGGUUUGGGCUUGGAGCUAGGAUUUUUCUGAGUGCAAUGAACCAACUCCCGAGUCUCUAGGACGUUCCUAAAAAAAUUUGAUUUUUUCCCAUAGGAAUGCAUGGGUUAGGGUUAGGGUUAGGGUUGGAGCUAGGGUUAGGGUUAGGGUUAGGGUUGCAGUUAGGGUUAGUGUUGGAGCUAGGGUAAGGUUUGGGCUUGGAGCUAGGAUUUUUCUGAGUGCAAUGAACCAACUCCCGAGUCUCUAGGACGUUCCUAAAAAAAUUUGAUUUUUUUCCCAUAGGAAUGCAUGGGUUAGGGUUAUGGUUAGGGUUAGGGUUGGAGCUAGGGUUAGGGUUAGGGUUAGGGUUGGAGUUAGGGUUAGUGUUGGAGCUAGGGUUAGGGUUGGGCUUGGAGCUAGGAUUUAUCUGAGUGCAAUGAACCAACCCCCGAGUCUCUAGGACGUUCCUAAAAAAAUUUGAUUUUUUCCCAUAGGAAUGCAUGGGUUAGGGUUAUGGUUAGCGUUAGGGUUGGAGCUAGGGUUAGGGUUAGGGUUAGGGUUGGAGUUAGGGUUAGUGUUGGAGCUAGGGUUAGGGUUGGGCUUGGAGCUAGGAUUUUUCUGAGUGCACUGAACCAACUCCCGAGUCUCUAGGACGUUCCUAAAAAAAUUUGAUUUUUUCCCAUAGGAAUGCAUGGGUCAGGGUUAGGGUUAGGGUUGGAGCUAGGGUUAGGGUUAGGGUUAGGGUUGGAGUUAGGGUUAGUGUUGGAGCUAGGGUUAGGGUUGGGCUUGGAGCUAGGAUUUUUCUGAGUGCAAUGAACCAACUCCCGAGUCUCUAGGACGUUCCUAAAAAAAUUUGAUUUUUUCCCAUAGGAAUGCAUGGGUUAGGGUUAGGGUUAGGGUUAGGGUUGGAGCUAGGGUUAGGGUUAGGGUUAGGGUUGGAGUUAGGGUUAGUGUUGGAGCUAGGGUUAGGGUUGGGCUUGGAGCUAGGAUUUUUCUGAGUGCAAUGAACCAACUCCCGAGUCUCUAGGACGUUCCUAAAAAAAUUUGAUUUUUUCCCAUAGGAAUGCAUGGGUUAGGGUUAGGGUUAGGGUUGGAGCUAGGGUUAGGGUUAGGGUUAGGGUUGGAGUUAGGGUUAGUGUUGGAGCUAGGGUUAGGGUUGGGCUUGGAGCUAGGAUUUUUCUGAGUGCAAUGAACCAACUCCCGAGUCUCUAGGACGUUCCUAAAAAAAUUUGAUUUUUUCCCAUAGGAAUGCAUGGGUUAGGGUUAGGGUUAGGGUUGGAGCUAGGGUUAGGGUUAGGGUUAGGGUUGGAGUUAGGGUUAGUGUUGGAGCUAGGGUUAGGGUUGGGCUUGGAACUAGGACUUUUCUGAGUGCAAUGAACCAACUCCCGAGUCUCUAGGACGUUCCCUAAAAAAAUUUGAUUUUUUCCCAUAGGAAUGCAUGGGUUAGGGUUAGGGUUAGGGUUGGAGCUAGGGUUAGGGUUAGGGUUAGGGUUAGAGUUAGGGUUAGUGUUGGAGCUAGGGUUAGGGUUGGGCUUGGAGCUAGGAUUUUUCUGAGUGCACUGAACCAACUCCCGAGUCUCUAGGACGUUCCUAAAAAAAUUUGAUUUUUUCCCAUAGGAAUGCAUGGGUUAGGGUUAGGGUUAGGGUUGGAGCUAGGGUAAGGGUUAGGGUUAGGGUUGGAGUUAGGGUUAGUGUUGGAGCUAGGGUUAGGGUUGGGCUUGGAGCUAGGACUUUUCUGAGUGCAAUGAACCAACUCCCGAGUCUCUAGGACGUUCCCUAAUAAAAUUUGAUUUUUUCCCAUAGGAAUGCAUGGGUUAGGGUUAGGGUUAGGGUUGGAGCUAGGGUUAGGGUUAGGGUUAGGGUUGGAGUUAGGGUUAGUGUUGGAGCUAGGGUUAGGGUUGGGCUUGGAGCUAGGAUUUUUCUGAGUGCACUGAACCAACUCCCGAGUCUCUAGGACAUUCCUAAAAAAAUUUGAUUUUUUCCCAUAGGAAUGCAUGGGUUAGGGUUAUGGUUAGGGUUAGGGUUGGAGCUAGGGUUAGGGUUAGGGUUAGGGUUGGAGUUAGGGUUAGUGUUGGAGCUAGGGUUAGGGUUGGGCUUGGAGCUAGGAUUUUUCUGAGUGCAAUGAACCAACUCCCGAGUCUCUUGGACAUUCCUAAAAAAAUUUGAUUUUUUCCCAUAGGAAUGCAUGGGUUAGGGUUAGGGUUAGGGUUGGAGCUAGGGUUAGGGUUAGGGUUAGGGUUGGAGUUAGGGUUAGUGUUGGAGCUAGGGUUAGGGUUGGGCUUGGAGCUAGGAUUUUUCUGAGUGCAAUGAACCAACUCCCGAGUCUCUAGGACGUUCCUAAAAAAAUUUGAUUUUUUCCCAUAGGAAUGCAUGGGUUAGGGUUAGGGUUAGGGUUAGGGUUGGAGCUAGGGUUAGGGUUAGGGUUAGGGUUGGAGUUAGGGUUAGUGUUGGAGCUAGGGUUAGGGUUGGGCUUGGAGCUAGGAUUUUUCUGAGUGCAAUGAACCAACCCCGAGUCUCUAGGACGUUCCUAAAAAAAUUUGAUUUUUUCCCAUAGGAAUGCAUGGGUUAGGGUUAUGGUUAGGGUUAGGGUUGGAGCUAGGGUUAGGGUUAGGGUUAGGGUUGGAGUUAGGGUUAGUGUUGGAGCUAGGGUUAGGGUUGGGCUUGGAGCUAGGAUUUUUCUGAGUGCACUGAACCAACUCCCGAGUCUCUAGGACAUUCCUAAAAAAAAUUGAUUUUUUCCCAUAGGAAUGCAUGGGUUAGGGUUAGGGUUAGGGUUGGAGCUAGGGUUAGGGUUAGGGUUGGAGUUAGGGUUAGUGUUGGAGCUAGGGUUAGGGUUGGGCUUGGAGCUAGGACUUUUCUGAGUACAAUGAACCAACUCCCGAGUCUCUAGGACGUUCCCUAAAAAAAUUUGAUUUUUUCCCAUAGGAAUGCAUGGGUUAGGGUUAGGGUUAGGGUUGGAGCUAGGGUUAGGGUUAGGGUUAGGGUUGGAGUUAGGGUUAGUGUUGGAGCUAGGGUUAGGGUUGGGCUUGGAGCUAGGAUUUUUCUGAGUGCACUGAACCAACUCCCGAGUCUCUAGGACAUUCCUAAAAAAAUUUGAUUUUUUCCCAUAGGAAUGCAUGGGUUAGGGUUAUGGUUAGGGUUAGGGUUGGAGCUAGGGUUAGGGUUAGGGUUAGGGUUGGAGUUAGGGUUAGUGUUGGAGCUAGGGUUAGGGUUGGGCUUGGAGCUAGGAUUUUUCUGAGUGCAAUGAACCAACUCCUGAGUCUCUAGGACUUUCCUAAAAAAAUUUGAUUUUUUCCCAUAGGAAUGCAUGGGUUAGGGUUAGGGUUAGGGUUAGGGUUGGAGCUAGGGUUAGGGUUAGGGUUAGGGUUGGAGUUAGGGUUAGUGUUGGAGCUAGGGUUAGGGUUGGGCUUGGAGCUAGGAUUUUUCUGAGUGCAAUGAACCAACCCCUAGUCUCUAGGACGUUCCUAAAAAAAUUUGAUUUUUUCCCAUAGGAAUGCAUGGGUUAGGGUUAUGGUUAGGGUUAGGGUUGGAGCUAGGGUUAGGGUUAGGGUUAGGGUUGGAGUUAGGGUUAGUGUUGGAGCUAGGGUUAGGGUUGGGCUUGGAGCUAGGAUUUUUCUGAGUGCACUGAACCAACUCCCGAGUCUCUAGGACAUUCCUAAAAAAAUUGAUUUUUUCCCAUAGGAAUGCAUGGGUUAGGGUUAGGGUUGGAGCUAGGGUUAGGGUUAGGGUUGGAGUUAGGGUUAGUGUUGGAGCUAGGGUUAGGGUUGGGCUUGGAGCUAGGACUUUUCUGAGUGCAAUGAACCAACUCCCGAGUCUCUAGGACGUUCCCUAAAAAAAUUUGAUUUUUUCCCAUAGGAAUGCAUGGGUUAGGGUUAGGGUUAGGGUUGGAGCUAGGGUUAGGGUUAGGGUUAGGGUUGGAGUUAGGGUUAGUGUUGGAGCUAGGGUUAGGGUUGGGCUUGGAGCUAGGAUUUUUCUGAGUGCACUGAACCAACUCCCGAGUCUCUAGGACAUUCCUAAAAAAAUUGAUUUUUUCCCAUAGGAAUGCAUGGGUUAGGGUUAGGGUUAGGGUUGGAGCUAGGGUUAGGGUUAGGGUUAGGGUUGGAGUUAGGGUUAGUGUUGGAGCUAGGGUUAGGGUUGGGCUUGGAGCUAGGAUUUUUCUGAGUGCACUGAACCAACUCCCGAGUCUCUAGGACAUUCCUAAAAAAAAAUUUGAUUUUUUCCCAUAGGAAUGCAUGGGUUAGGGUUAUGGUUAGGGUAAGGGUUGGAGCUAGGGUUAGGGUUAGGGUUAGGGUUGGAGUUAGGGUUAGUGUUGGAGCUAGGGUUAGGGUUGGGCUUGGAGCUAGGAUUUUUCUGAGUGCAAUGAACCAACUCCCGAGUCUCUUGGACAUUCCUAAAAAAAUUUGAUUUUUUCCCAUAGGAAUGCAUGGGUUAGGGUUAGGGUUAGGGUUGGAGCUAGGGUUAGGGUUAGGGUUAGUGUUGGAGCUAGGGUUAGGGUUGGGCUUGGAGCUAGGACUUUUCUGAGUGCAAUGAACCAACUCCCGAGUCUCUAGGACGUUCCCUAAAAAAAUUUGAUUUUUUCCCAUAGGAAUGCAUGGGUUAGGGUUAGGGUUAGGGUUGGAGCUAGGGUUAGGGUUAGGGUUAGGGUUGGAGUUAGGGUUAGUGUUGGAGCUAGGGUUAGGGUUGGGCUUGGAGCUAGGAUUUUUCUGAGUGCACUGAACCAACUCCCGAGUCUCUAGGACAUUCCUAAAAAAAUUUGAUUUUUUCCCAUAGGAAUGCAUGGGUUAGGGUUAUGGUUAGGGUUAGGGUUGGAGCUAGGGUUAGGGUUAGGGUUAGGGUUGGAGUUAGGGUUAGUGUUGGAGCUAGGGUUAGGGUUGGGCUUGGAGCUAGGAUUUUUCUGAGUGCAAUGAACCAACUCCCGAGUCUCUAGGACGUUCCUAAAAAAUUUGAUUUUUUCCCAUAGGAAUGCAUGGGUUAGGGUUAGGGUUAGGGUUGGAGCUAGGGUUAGGGUUAGGGUUAGGGUUGGAGUUAGGGUUAGUGUUGGAGCUAGGGUUAGGGUUGGGCUUGGAGCUAGGAUUUUUCUGAGUGCAAUGAACCAACUCCCGAGUCUCUAGGACGUUCCUAAAAAAAUUUGAUUUUUUCCCAUAGGAAUGCAUGGGUUAGGGUUAGGGUUAGGGUUAGGGUUGGAUCUAGGGUUAGGGUUAGGGUUAGGGUUGGAGUUAGGGUUAGUGUUGGAGCUAGGGUUAGGGUUGGGCUUGGAGCUAGGAUUUUUCUGAGUGCAAUGAACCAACCCCGAGUCUCUAGGACGUUCCUAAAAAAAUUUGAUUUUUUCCCAUAGGAAUGCAUGGGUUAGGGUUAUGGUUAGGGUUAGGGUUGGAGCUAGGGUUAGGGUUAGGGUUAGGGUUGGAGUUAGGGUUAGUGUUGGAGCUAGGGUUAGGGUUGGGCUUGGAGCUAGGAUUUUUCUGAGUGCACUGAACCAACUCCCGAGUCUCUAGGACAUUCCUAAAAAAAAUUGAUUUUUUCCCAUAGGAAUGCAUGGGUUAGGGUUAGGGUUAGGGUUGGAGCUAGGGUUAGGGUUAGGGUUGGAGUUAGGGUUAGUGUUGGAGCUAGGGUUAGGGUUGGGCUUGGAGCUAGGACUUUUCUGAGUGCAAUGAACCAACUCCCGAGUCUCUAGGACGUUCCCUAAAAAAAUUUGAUUUUUUCCCAUAGGAAUGCAUGGGUUAGGGUUAGGGUUAGGGUUGGAGCUAGGGUUAGGGUUAGGGUUAGGGUUGGAGUUAGGGUUAGUGUUGGAGCUAGGGUUAGGGUUGGGCUUGGAGCUAGGAUUUUUCUGAGUGCACUGAACCAACUCCCGAGUCUCUAGGACAUUCCUAAAAAAAAUUGAUUUUUUUCCCAUAGGAAUGCAUGGGUUAGGGUUAGGGUUAGGGUUGGAGCUAGGGUUAGGGUUAGGGUUAGGGUUGGAGUUAGGGUUAGUGUUGGAGCUAGGGUUAGGGUUGGGCUUGGAGCUAGGAUUUUUCUGAGUGCACUGAACCAACUCCCGAGUCUCUAGGACAUUCCUAAAAAAAUUUGAUUUUUUCCCAUAGGAAUGCAUGGGUUAGGGCUAUGGUUAGGGUAAGGGUUGGAGCUAGGGUUAGGGUUAGGGUGAGGGUUGGAGUUAGGGUUAGUGUUGGAGCUAGGGUUAGGGUUGGGCUUGGAGCUAGGAUUUUUCUGAGUGCAAUGAACCAACUCCCGAGUCUCUUGGACAUUCCUAAAAAAAUUUGAUUUUUUCCCAUAGGAAUGCAUGGGUUAGGGUUAGGGUUAGGGUUGGAGCUAGGGUUAGGGUUAGGGUUAGGGUUGGAGUUAGGGUUAGUGUUGGAGCUAGGGUUAGGGUUGGGCUUGGAGCUAGGAUUUUUCUGAGUGCAAUGAACCAACUCCCGAGUCUCUAGGACGUUCCUAAAAAAAUUUGAUUUUUUCCCAUAGGAAUGCAUGGGUUAGGGUUAGGGUUAGGGUUAGGGUUGGAGCUAGGGUUAGGGUUAGGGUUAGGGUUGGAGUUAGGGUUAGUGUUGGAGCUAGGGUUAGGGUUGGGCUUGGAGCUAGGAUUUUUCUGAGUGCAAUGAACCAACCCCGAGUCUCUAGGACGUUCCUAAAAAAAUUUGAUUUUUUCCCAUAGGAAUGCAUGGGUUAGGGUUAUGGUUAGGGUUAGGGUUGGAGCUAGGGUUAGGGUUAGGGUUAGGGUUGGAGUUAGGGUUAGUGUUUGAGCUAGGGUUAGGGUUGGGCUUGGAGCUAGGAUUUUUCUGAGUGCAAUGAACCAACUCCCGAGUCUCUAGGACGUUCCUAAAAAAAUUUGAUUUUUUCCCAUAGGAAUGCAUGGGUUAGGGUUAGGGUUAGGGUUGGAGCUAGGGUUAGGGUUAGGGUUAGGGUUGGAGUUAGGGUUAGUGUUGGAGCUAGGGUUAGGGUUGGGCUUGGAGCUAGGAUUUUUCUGAGUGCAAUGAACCAACUCCCGAGUCUCUAGGACGUUCCUAAAACAAUUUGAUUUUUUCCCAUAGGAAUGCAUGGGUUAGGGUUAGGGUUAGGGUUGGAGCUAGGGUUAGGGUUAGGGUUAGGGUUGGAGUUAGGGUUAGUGUUGGAGCUAGGGUUAGGGUUGGGCUUGGAGCUAGGACUUUUCUGAGUGCAAUGAACCAACUCCCGAGUCUCUAGGACGUUCCCUAAAAAAAUUUGAUUUUUUCCCAUAGGAAUGCAUGGGUUAGGGUUAGGGUUAGGGUUGGAGCUAGGGUUAGGGUUAGGGUUAGGGUUAGAGUUAGGGUUAGUGUUGGAGCUAGGGUUAGGGUUGGGCUUGGAGCUAGGAUUUUUCUGAGUGCACUGAACCAACUCCCGAGUCUCUAGGACAUUCCUAAAAAAAUUGAUUUUUUUCCAUAGGAAUGCAUGGGUUAGGGUUAGGGUUAGGGUUGGAGCUAGGGUUAGUGUUAGGUUUAGGGUUGGAGUUAGGGUUAGUGUUUGAGCUAGGGUUAGGGCUGGGCUUGGAGCUAGGAUUUUUCUGAGUGCAAUGAACCAACUCCCGAGUCUCUAGGACGUUCCUAAAAAAAAUUGAUUUUUUCCCAUAGGAAUGCAUGGGUUAGGGUUAGGGUUAGGGUUGGAGCUAGGGUUAGGGUUAGGGUUAGGGUUGGAGUUAGGGUUAGUGUUGGAGCUAGGGUUAGGGUUGGGCUUGGAGCUAGGAUUUUUCUGAGUGCAAUGAACCAACUCCCGAGUCUCUAGGACGUUCCUAAAAAAAUUUGAUUUUUUCCCAUAGGAAUGCAUGGGUUAGGGUUAGGGUUAGGGUUGGAGCUAGGGUUAGGGUUAGGGUUAGGGUUGGAGUUAGGGUUAGUGUUGGAGCUAGGGUUAGGGUUGGGCUUGGAGCUAGGAUUUUUCUGAGUGCACUGAACCAACUCCCGAGUCUCUAGGACAUUCCUAAAAAAAUUUGAUUUUUUCCCAUAGGAAUGCAUGGGUUAGGGUUAGGGUUAGGGUUGGAGCUAGGGUUAGGGUUAGGGUUGGAGUUAGGGUUAGUGUUGGAGCUAGGGUUAGGGUUGGGCUUGGAGCUAGGACUUUUCUGAGUGCAAUGAACCAACUCCCGAGUCUCUAGGACGUUCCCUAAAAAAAAUUGAUUUUUUCCCAUAGGAAUGCAUGGGUUAGGGUUAGGGUUAGGGUUGGAGCUAGGGUUAGGGUUAGGGUUAGGGUUAGAGUUAGGGUUAGUGUUGGAGCUAGGGUUAGGGUUGGGCUUGGAGCUAGGAUUUUUCUGAGUGCACUGAACCAACUCCCGAGUCUCUAGGACAUUCCUAAAAAAAAUUGAUUUUUUUCCAUAGGAAUGCAUGGGUUAGGGUUAGGGUUAGGGUUGGAGCUAGGGUUAGUGUUAGGUUUAGGGUUGGAGUUAGGGUUAGUGUUGGAGUUAGGGUUAGGGUUGGGCUUGGAGCUAGGAUUUUUCUGAGUGCAAUGAACCAACUCCCGAGUCUCUAGGACGUUCCUAAAAAAAUUUGAUUUUUUCCCAUAGGAAUGCAUGGGUUAGGGUUAGGGUUAGGGUUGGAGCUAGGGUUAGGGUUAGGGUUAGGGUUGGAGUUAGGGUUAGUGUUGGAGCUAGGGUUAGGGUUGGGCUUGGAGCUAGGAUUUUUCUGAGUGCACUGAACCAACUCCCGAGUCUCUAGGACAUUCCUAAAAAAAUUUGAUUUUUUCCCAUAGGAAUGCAUGGGUUAGGGUUAUGGUUAGGGUUAGGGUUGGAGCUAGGGUUAGGGUUAGGGUUAGGGUUGGAGUUAGGGUUAGUGUUGGAGCUAGGGUUAGGGUUGGGCUUGGAGCUAGGAUUUUUCUGAGAGGCACUGAACCAACUCCCGAGUCUCUAGGACAUUCCUAAAAAAAUUUGAUUUUUCCCAUAGGAAUGCAUGGGUUAGGGUUAUGGUUAGGGUUAGGGUUGGAGCUAGGGUUAGGGUUAGGGUUAGGGUUGGAGUUAUGGUUAGUGUUGGAGCUAGGGUUAGGGUUGGGCUUGGAGCUAGGAUUUUUCUGAGUGCAAUGAACCAACUCCCGAGUCUCUAGGACGUUCCUAAAAAAAUUUGAUUUUUUCCCAUAGGAAUGCAUGGGUUAGGGUUAGGGUUAGGGUUGGAGCUAGGGUUAGGGUUAGGGUUAGGGUUAGGGUUGGAGUUAGGGUUAGUGUUGGAGCUAGGGUUAGGGUUGGGCUUGGAGCUAGGAUUUUUCUGAGUGCACUGAACCAACUCCCGAGUCUCUAGGACAUUCCUAAAAAAAUUUGAUUUUUUCCCAUAGGAAUGCAUGGGUUAGGGUUAGGGUUAGGGUUGGAGCUAGGGUUAGGGUUAGGGUUAGGGUUGGAGUUAGGGUUAGUGUUGGAGCUAGGGUUAGGGUUGGGCUUGGACUAGGAUUUUUCUGAGUGCACUGAACCAACUCCCGAGUCUCUAGGACAUUCCUAAAAAAAUUUGAUUUUUUCCCAUAGGAAUGCAUGGGUUAGGGUUAUGGUUAGGGUUAGGGUUGGAGCUAGGGUUAGGGUUAGGGUUAGGGUUGGAGUUAGGGUUAGUGUUGGAGCUAGGGUUAGGGUUGGGCUUGGAGCUAGGAUUUUUCUGAGUGCAAUGAACCAACUCCCGAGUCUCUUGGACGUUCCUAAAAAAAUUUGAUUUUUUCCCAUAGGAAUGCAUGGGUUAGGGUUAGGGUUAGGGUUGGAGCUAGGGUUAGGGUUAGGGUUAGGGUUGGAGUUAGGGUUAGUGUUGGAGCUAGGGUUAGGGUUGGGCUUGGAGCUAGGAUUUUUCUGAGUGCACUGAACCAACUCCCGAGUCUCUAGGACAUUCCUAAAAAAAUUUGAUUUUUUCCCAUAGGAAUGCAUGGGUUAGGGUUAUGUUUAGGGUUAGGGUUGGAGCUAGGGUUAGGGUUAGGGUUAGGGUUGGAGUUAGGGUUAGUGUUGGAGCUAGGGUUAGGGUUGGGCUUGGAGCUAGGAUUUUUCUGAGUGCAAUGAACCAACUCCCGAGUCUCUUGGACGUUCCUAAAAAAAUUUGAUUUUUUCCCAUAGGAAUGCAUGGGUUAGGGUUAGGGUUAGGGUUGGAGCUAGGGUUAGGGUUAGGGUUAGGGUUGGAGUUAGGGUUAGUGUUGGAGCUAGGGUUAGGGUUGGGCUUGGAGCUAGGAUUUUUCUGAGUGCAAUGAACCAACUCCCGAGUCUCUAGGACGUUCCUAAAAAAAUUUGAUUUUUUCCCAUAGGAAUGCAUGGGUUAGGGUUAGGGUUAGGGUUAGGGUUGGAGCUAGGGUUAGGGUUAGGGUUAGGGUUGGAGUUAGGGUUAGUGUUGGAGCUAGGGUUAGGGUUGGGCUUGGAGCUAGGAUUUUUCUGAGUGCAAUGAACCAACCCCGAGUCUCUAGGACGUUCCUAAAAAAUUUGAUUUUUUCCCAUAGGAAUGCAUGGGUUAGGGUUAUGGUUAGGGUUAGGGUUGGAGCUAGGGUUAGGGUUAGGGUUAGGGUUGGAGUUAGGGUUAGUGUUUGAGCUAGGGUUAGGGUUGGGCUUGGAGCUAGGAUUUUUCUGAGUGCAAUGAACCAACUCCCGAGUCUCUAGGACGUUCCUAAAAAAAUUUGAUUUUUUCCCAUAGGAAUGCAUGGGUUAGGGUUAGGGUUAGGGUUGGAGCUAGGGUUAGGGUUAGGGUUAGGGUUGGAGUUAGGGUUAGUGUUGGAGCUAGGGUUAGGGUUGGGCUUGGAGCUAGGAUUUUUCUGAGUGCAAUGAACCAACUCCCGAGUCUCUAGGACGUUCCUAAAACAAUUUGAUUUUUUCCCAUAGGAAUGCAUGGGUUAGGGUUAGGGUUAGGGUUGGAGCUAGGGUUAGGGUUAGGGUUAGGGUUGGAGUUAGGGUUAGUGUUGGAGCUAGGGUUAGGGUUGGGCUUGGAGCUAGGACUUUUCUGAGUGCAAUGAACCAACUCCCGAGUCUCUAGGACGUUCCCUAAAAAAAUUUGAUUUUUUCCCAUAGGAAUGCAUGGGUUAGGGUUAGGGUUAGGGUUGGAGCUAGGGUUAGGGUUAGGGUUAGGGUUAGAGUUAGGGUUAGUGUUGGAGCUAGGGUUAGGGUUGGGCUUGGAGCUAGGAUUUUUCUGAGUGCACUGAACCAACUCCCGAGUCUCUAGGACAUUCCUAAAAAAAUUGAUUUUUUUCCAUAGGAAUGCAUGGGUUAGGGUUAGGGUUAGGGUUGGAGCUAGGGUUAGUGUUAGGUUUAGGGUUGGAGUUAGGGUUAGUGUUGGAGCUAGGGUUAGGGUUGGGCUUGGAGCUAGGAUUUUUCUGAGUGCAAUGAACCAACUCCCGAGUCUCUAGGACGUUCCUAAAAAAAUUGAUUUUUUCCCAUAGGAAUGCAUGGGUUAGGGUUAGGGUUAGGGUUGGAGCUAGGGUUAGGGUUAGGGUUAGGGUUGGAGUUAGGGUUAGUGUUGGAGCUAGGGUUAGGGUUGGGCUUGGAGCUAGGAUUUUUCUGAGUGCAAUGAACCAACUCCCGAGUCUCUAGGACGUUCCUAAAAAAAUUUGAUUUUUUCCCAUAGGAAUGCAUGGGUUAGGGUUAGGGUUAGGGUUGGAGCUAGGGUUAGGGUUAGGGUUAGGGUUGGAGUUAGGGUUAGUGUUGGAGCUAGGGUUAGGGUUGGGCUUGGAGCUAGGAUUUUUCUGAGUGCACUGAACCAACUCCCGAGUCUCUAGGACAUUCCUAAAAAAAUUUGAUUUUUUCCCAUAGGAAUGCAUGGGUUAGGGUUAGGGUUAGGGUUGGAGCUAGGGUUAGGGUUAGGGUUGGAGUUAGGGUUAGUGUUGGAGCUAGGGUUAGGGUUGGGCUUGGAGCUAGGACUUUUCUGAGUGCAAUGAACCAACUCCCGAGUCUCUAGGACGUUCCCUAAAAAAAAUUGAUUUUUUCCCAUAGGAAUGCAUGGGUUAGGGUUAGGGUUAGGGUUGGAGCUAGGGUUAGGGUUAGGGUUAGGGUUAGAGUUAGGGUUAGUGUUGGAGCUAGGGUUAGGGUUGGGCUUGGAGCUAGGAUUUUUCUGAGUGCACUGAACCAACUCCCGAGUCUCUAGGACAUUCCUAAAAAAAAUUGAUUUUUUUCCCAUAGGAAUGCAUGGGUUAGGGUUAGGGUUAGGGUUGGAGCUAGGGUUAGUGUUAGGUUUAGGGUUGGAGUUAGGGUUAGUGUUGGAGUUAGGGUUAGGGUUGGGCUUGGAGCUAGGAUUUUUCUGAGUGCAAUGAACCAACUCCCGAGUCUCUAGGACGUUCCUAAAAAAAUUUGAUUUUUUCCCAUAGGAAUGCAUGGGUUAGGGUUAGGGUUAGGGUUGGAGCUAGGGUUAGGGUUAGGGUUAGGGUUGGAGUUAGGGUUAGUGUUGGAGCUAGGGUUAGGGUUGGGCUUGGAGCUAGGAUUUUUCUGAGUGCACUGAACCAACUCCCGAGUCUCUAGGACAUUCCUAAAAAAAUUUGAUUUUUUCCCAUAGGAAUGCAUGGGUUAGGGUUAUGGUUAGGGUUAGGGUUGGAGCUAGGGUUAGGGUUAGGGUUAGGGUUGGAGUUAGGGUUAGUGUUGGAGCUAGGGUUAGGGUUGGGCUUGGAGCUAGGAUUUUUCUGAGAGCACUGAACCAACUCCCGAGUCUCUAGGACAUUCCUAAAAAAAUUUGAUUUUUUCCCAUAGGAAUGCAUGGGUUAGGGUUAUGGUUAGGGUUAGGGUUGGAGCUAGGGUUAGGGUUAGGGUUAGGGUUGGAGUUAUGGUUAGUGUUGGAGCUAGGGUUAGGGUUGGGCUUGGAGCUAGGAUUUUUCUGAGUGCAAUGAACCAACUCCAGAGUCUCUAGGACGUUCCUAAAAAAAUUUGAUUUUUUCCCAUAGGAAUGCAUGGGUUAGGGUUAGGGUUAGGGUUGGAGCUAGGGUUAGGGUUAGGGUUAGGGUUAGGGUUGGAGUUAGGGUUAGUGUUGGAGCUAGGGUUAGGGUUGGGCUUGGAGCUAGGAUUUUUCUGAGUGCACUGAACCAACUCCCGAGUCUCUAGGACAUUCCUAAAAAAAUUUGAUUUUUUCCCAUAGGAAUGCAUGGGUUAGGGUUAGGGUUAGGGUUGGAGCUAGGGUUAGGGUUAGGGUUAGGGUUGGAGUUAGGGUUAGUGUUGGAGCUAGGGUUAGGGUUGGGCUUGGAGCUAGGAUUUUUCUGAGUGCACUGAACCAACUCCCGAGUCUCUAGGACAUUCCUAAAAAAUUUGAUUUUUUCCCAUAGGAAUGCAUGGGUUAGGGUUAUGGUUAGGGUUAGGGUUGGAGCUAGGGUUAGGGUUAGGGUUAGGGUUGGAGUUAGGGUUAGUGUUGGAGCUAGGGUUAGGGUUGGGCUUGGAGCUAGGAUUUUUCUGAGUGCAAUGAACCAACUCCCGAGUCUCUUGGACGUUCCUAAAAAAAUUUGAUUUUUUCCCAUAGGAAUGCAUGGGUUAGGGUUAGGGUUAGGGUUGGAGCUAGGGUUAGGGUUAGGGUUAGGGUUGGAGUUAGGGUUAGUGUUGGAGCUAGGGUUAGGGUUGGGCUUGGAGCUAGGAUUUUUCUGAGUGCACUGAACCAACUCCCGAGUCUCUAGGACAUUCCUAAAAAAAUUAGAUUUUUUCCCAUAGGAAUGCAUGGGUUAGGGUUAUGUUUAGGGUUAGGGUUGGAGCUAGGGUUAGGGUUAGGGUUAGGGUUGGAGUUAGGGUUAGUGUUGGAGCUAGGGUUAGGGUUGGGCUUGGAGCUAGGAUUUUUCUGAGUGCAAUGAACCAACUCCCGAGUCUCUUGGACGUUCCUAAAAAAAUUUGAUUUUUUCCCAUAGGAAUGCAUGGGUUAGGGUUAGGGUUAGGGUUGGAGCUAGGGUUAGGGUUAGGGUUAGGGUUGGAGUUAGGGUUAGUGUUGGAGCUAGGGUUAGGGUUGGGCUUGGAGCUAGGAUUUUUCUGAGUGCAAUGAACCAACUCCCGAGUCUCUAGGACGUUCCUAAAAAAAUUUGAUUUUUUCCCAUAGGAAUGCAUGGGUUAGGGUUAGGGUUAGGGUUGGAGCUAGGGUUAGGGUUAGGGUUAGGGUUGGAGUUAAGGUUAGUGUUGGAGCUAGGGUUAGGGUUGGGCUUGGAGCUAGGAUUUUUCUGAGUGCAAUGAACCAACUACCGAGUCUCUAGGACGUUCCUAAAAAAAUUUGAUUUUUUCCCAUAGGAAUGCAUGGGUUAGGGUUAUGGUUAGGGUUAGGGUUGGAGCUAGGGUUAGGGUUAGGGUUAGGGUUGGAGUUAGGGUUAGUGUUGGAGCUAGGGUUAGGGUUGGGCUUGGAGCUAGGAUUUUUCUGAGUGCAAUGAACCAACCCCCGAGUCUCUAGGACGUUCCUAAAAAAAUUUGAUUUUUUCCCAUAGGAAUGCAUGGGUUAGGGUUAUGGUUAGGGUUAGGGUUGGAGCUAGGGUUAGGGUUAGGGUUAGGGUUGGAGUUAGGGUUAGUGUUGGAGCUAGGGUUAGGGUUGGGCUUGGAGCUAGGAUUUUUCUGAGUGCAAUGAACCAACUCCCGAGUCUCUAGGACAUUCCUAAAAAAAUUUGAUUUUUUCCCAUAGGAAUGCAUGGGUUAGGGUUAGGGUUAGGGUUGGAGCUAGGGUUAGGGUUAGGGUUAGGGUUGGAGUUAGGGUUAGUGUUGGAGCUAGGGUUAGGGUUGGGCUUGGAGCUAGGAUUUUUCUGAGUGCAAUGAACCAACUCCCGAGUCUCUAGGACGUUCCUAAAAAAAUUUGAUUUUUUCCCAUAGGAAUGCAUGGGUUAGGGUUAGGGUUAGGGUUGGAGCUAGGGUUAGGGUUAGGGUUAGGGUUAGUGUUGGAGCUAGGGUUAGGGUUGGGCUUGGAGCUAGGAUUUUUCUGAGUGCACUGAACCAACUCCCGAGUCUCUAGGACAUUCCUAAAAAAAUUAGAUUUUUUCCCAUAGGAAUGCAUGGGUUAGGGUUAGGGUUAGGCUUGGAGCUAGGGUUAGGGUUAGGGUUAGGGUUGGAGUUAGGGUUAGUGUUGGAGCUAGGGUUAGGGUUGGGCUUGGAGCUAGGAUUUUUCUGAGUGCAAUGAACCAACUCCCGAGUCUCUAGGACGUUCCUAAAAAAAUUUGAUUUUUUCCCAUAGGAAUGCAUGGGUUAGGGUUAGGGUUAGGGUUGGAGCUAGGGUUAGGGUUAGGGUUAGGGUUGGAGUUAGGGUUAGUGUUGGAGCUAGGGUUAGGGUUGGGCUUGGAGCUAGGAUUUUUCUGAGUGCACUGAACCAACUCCCGAGUCUCUAGGACAUUCCUAAAAAAAUUUGAUUUUUUCCCAUAGGAAUGCAUGGGUUAGGGUUAUGGUUAGGGUUAGGGUUGGAGCUAGGGUUAGGGUUAGGGUUAGGGUUGGAGUUAGGGUUAGUGUUGGAGCUAGGGUUAGGGUUGGGCUUGGAGCUAGGAUUUUUCUGAGUGCACUGAACCAACUCCCGAGUCUCUAGGACAUUCCUAAAAAAAUUUGAUUUUUUCCCAUAGGAAUGCAUGGGUUAGGGUUAGGGUUAGGCUUGGAGCUAGGGUUAGGGUUAGGGUUAGGGUUGGAGUUAGGGUUAGUGUUGGAGCUAGGGUUAGGGUUGGGCUUGGAGCUAGGAUUUUUCUGAGUGCACUGAACCAACUCCCGAGUCUCUAGGACAUUCCUAAAAAAAAUUGAUUUUUUUCCCAUAGGAAUGCAUGGGUUAGGGUUAUGGUUAGGGUUAGGGUUGGAGCUAGGGUUAGGGUUGGAGUUAGGGUUAGUGUUGGAGCUAGGGUUAGGGUUAGGGUUAGGGUUAGGGUUAGGGUUAGGGUUAGGUUAGGGUUAGGGUUGGAGCUAGGGUUAGGGUUAGGGUUAGGGUUGGAGUUAGGGUUAGUGUUGGACCUAGGGUUAGGGUUGGGCUUGGAGCUAGGAUUUUUCUGAGUGCAAUGAACCAACUCCCGAGUCUCUAGGACGUUCCUAAACAAAUUUGAUUUUUUCCCAUAGGAAUGCAUGGGUUAGGGUUAGGGUUAGGGUUGGAGCUAGGGUUAGGGUUAGGGUUAGGGUUGGAGUUAGGGUUAGUGUUGGAGCUAGGGUUAGGGUUGGGCUUGGAGCUAGGAUUUUUCUGAGUGCAAUGAACCAACUCCCGAGUCUCUAGGACGUUCCUAAAAAAUUUGAUUUUUUCCCAUAGGAAUGCAUGGGUUAGGGUUAGGGUUAGGGUUGGAGCUAGGGUUAGGGUUAGGGUUAGGGUUGGAGUUAAGGUUAGUGUUGGAGCUAGGGUUAGGGUUGGGCUUGGAGCUAGGAUUUUUCUGAGUGCAAUGAACCAACUCCCGAGUCUCUAGGACGUUCCUAAAAAAAAUUGAUUUUUUCCCAUAGGAAUGCAUGGGUUAGGGUUAUGGUUAGGGUUAGGGUUGGAGCUAGGGUUAGGGUUAGGGUUAGGGUUGGAGUUAGGGUUAGUGUUGGAGCUAGGGUUAGGGUUGGGCUUGGAGCUAGGAUUUUUCUGAGUGCAAUGAACCAACCCCCGAGUCUCUAGGACGUUCCUAAAAAAAUUUGAUUUUUUCCCAUAGGAAUGCAUGGGUUAGGGUUAUGGUUAGGGUUAGGGUUGGAGCUAGG
rnacentral:lncRNA from 1 species